rnacentral:rRNA from 1 species
GACGAACGCUGGCGGCGUGCUUAACACAUGCAAGUCGAGCGGUAAGGCCCUUUCGGGGGUACACGAGCGGCGAACGGGUGAGUAACACGUGGGUGACCUGCCCUUAGCUCUGGGAUAAGCCUGGGAAACUGGGUCUAAUACCGGAUAUGACUCCAUGACGCAUGUUGUGGGGUGGAAAGCCUUGUGCGGCUAGGGAUGGGCCCGCGGCCUAUCAGCUUGUUGGUGGGGUGANGGCCUACCAAGGCGACGACGGGUAGCCGGCCUGAGAGGGCCGACCGGCCACACGUGGGACUGAGACACGGCCCAGACUCCUACGGGAGGCAGCAGGUGGGGAGUCUUGCGACAAGUGGGCGAAAGCCUGACGCAGCGACGCCGC